CCUUUUCAAACGCCGACCCUCCAGACGUGACACGGGACACCCAACACGCCAGAACAGCCGGACCUGGGGCUCCCCGACCCAAGCCACGCCUGGGGCACAGCGACCUGGGGCGCUGAGGGGUCGCCAGCAGGACUUGCUGGCAGAUUAGACAACUUUCCAGCAACAUCUGUAAAGCUCAUGAGAAGUAAAAAAUACCACAUUUGUAGGAGGAAAGGGGGAGUCGUGUCUAACAAAUACACAGAUCUCCCUUUGAAAGCUGGAGACCAGACUGCCUGCAGCAAUGGAAUUCCCUGCUUCCCAACCUGAGCAAGGGCAGAGGAAAGCAGAAGGGGAAAAAAAAUCCUAGUAGGAAACAUGUUUCACAAUCCUCUGCGGCGAGCGAGCGGCACAAGCUUCCCCGAGAGGAUCUGCGAGGGUGGAGAGCAGCCAGUCGUCCAAAUGCGAGGAGGAGGCCGGGUGCCAGGAGACAGGGAGGCCAGAGGAAUGCCUGGAGGCAGCCUGGCCAUAUGCUUGUGGUAAAAAGCUCCAGGUCAGGAUCAGGCUCGUGUCCAGGAACAGCGAACUUCAGAAGGUGGGACUUGUUAUUGCCCGACCGACGGCCUCCGGCUCCUGCAAACCUCGCUGUCGGGAUAAUGCUCUGCCUUAGGCUUGUUGUUGCGGUAGGAAACGAGGGGGGAAAAGAGAUUUUUGAAAUUAA